GUGACCUUACUUGAACAUGACAAAUCCUAUAGGUUGUAGAUCUCUGUCCUUGAGUUCUAAGGAGACAAGAACCAAAGUCGUCUCCAAAGUCUGGUGGAUGAACCACUGCCUUGCGGCUAGAGUGUGAUUAACGGUUCAAUGGACCUUGGUCUGACGGCUGUAGAGGAUCGUUCUCGGCAGGUUCGUCCUGCUGGGAUGGUCACAUGGCGGUCUGAUAGACU